GGGGUUGUGGUUCAGCGGUAGAUCGCUCACCUCACAUGUGUGAGAUCCUGGGUUCCAUCCUCAGCACCACA
rnacentral:tRNA from 1 species